UGCCUAGGACCUCUCUGCAAUGUGUGCCUGAUAGACUUCUCCUAACAAUAGCAGAAAUAAUCAACUGGAUGAGUUUUAGGCAGAUUGCCAUCUAGAAGAGCACAGCAUCCGGAUCAGAGGAAGAUGAACAGACAUAUUUCAUGGUUUUGUGCUGUACAUUUGACACUUGAAUCAUAGAAUAGCUUUAAGGAACCUUAAAGAUCAUCUACUUCCAACCCUUGAACUUUUUCACAGGCUUCUGGAUUUCAACAGACAUGAAUCUCUUUUCAGGACACAAGAAGGCUUGUCGCAGUGCAGUUUUAAGAAUAUGGUUAUUGGCAACAUCCUGGGAUUGGCAAAGAUGGAUUACCCACAGCCUGGGGCUUCACUGUAAAGUGGACUUCUGCCUUCAGCUGUGGCUUACAGGGCAAUCUCAUCCAGCUUGCUGUUCUCUUCCUGUAUGAGGAGUGAGGUGAAAAAGAGGAGCAAAAGCACUGCUAGAAAAGGAAAGCUGAAUAAUGCACAAAGGAGAGAACAAGUGGAAAAACAGAUCGAACCUACAGCCAUCCUGAAAGCUCUGCAAUAGUUUCCAUGCGAUUUUUAAUUUCCUGGUUCUGCCUGGAACCUGAAGUGUGAGUGCUGGAAGCCUCAGGAGGAAAAACUGGUAUUGUCAGAUUCUGCCCUCAUUUUCCAACGAGGACUUUCAGAGAAUAUCUCAGCUCUUAAAGCGUUUGGAGACUUCACUCUCACAAGUGGCUGACUGCCUUCUGACUCUUCUGAGUCAACACAGCUGGAAAAUGGAAUAAAAAAACCCUGAAAUCUCAGUGAAAACCAGAUGUUGCCAUUGAGCAGUGCUACUGUGUUAAUAAAGCACUAGCACCCUUGCGCUCCACAAAACAAAACAAAUACCUCUAAUAGAUUUCCCUAACCAUGUCUUAUGUCAGAAAGAACACAGCAAAAAAAUAUUUUAAGGCUUGAAGUGGACUAUGGAGAGCUAUGGUUCUGGUGCUGGCACUUGGAUUGCUGCACAGUAAGAUCUCUAUUUUUAGGGAGGACAAGCUAUGUUUGUUAUUUGGCAGGAAGUGAUCAGGACAAGUGAUUGCAACAUUUCUGCUGGACCUGUGGUCAGUGAGAUUUGGAUGAUGUGUUAUGAAGCAUGGUUUGGUACUGUGGUGCUGUCAUGUGCCGCACAAUUUGAACAGGGUCUGGAGUUUAUGUGCACCCCCAGGGCACACAGUGGUACUUGCAUUGUAGUCUUUAAAGAAAACAUCUCAGCACUGUAAGCAGCAAAGGAAAGAUUCUGGGACAGUUUUUGCUUAAAAAAAAUAGCAGUUUCUUUGCAUGCUCAUAUCAAAUAUAUUUUUCUAUCAAUUACACAUUCCUGACAGGAUGCAGAUGCAUUAUGUGAUGUGUUAUAUACAGAGCUGAGCAGGAAUGCAUGCAAGAACUGGAAAACAACAGUGGUUUGUUUAAACGUCCUGUUUCAUCUUAUCCAGCCAACAUCCCAUUAUGAGCCACAGGGGGCCAGCUUUCUGAGGCCACCAAGAUGUCAACAGUUGGAGGAAAUGUUCACUCCAAUGUCCCUGGGGUCGCUCUGAAAGCACUGACAUGACAUCCACAGCCUUCUUCAACAGAAGCAGCACCGUGGAUUUGUUAGCAUGCUACUUGAAGUUGCCACAAACAAGAGAAAGCUCAUGUCUUUUGAGAGAAAAGCUAACCUCUCUCCUUCCCGUCACAAACAACAUUUUCUUUUCUUCUCCCUUAGCAAAACCUAUACAGUGUCCUUGGAGAAGGUGAAGAGCACAGACAAGAUCCACACACCAUGAGGUUGCAGCCUGUGCUCCUCAGCCACUGCAUGCCUUUAUGCCAUUAGCCUUAAUGUCACUUUAGUCUGAGUCAGAUGUCACAAAACAAAUGAUUUUCCCUCCUUGCACAGCUUUGUUGUGACUGAGCCCUAAAAUCAGUGGCAAUACUGACUGUCGUGGUUCUACCACUAAGCUAUGGUUGAAUCACUGGUAUAGCUUAGACUACUAUGAACAUCAACAUCUUUAAUCUGUGGGUGGUUUAUGUUUAGCAAAGAUAGCAAAAGUAAAGCCAAAUUAAAAUUAUAAAUAUGAUGAGGUGUUUCAAACACAGAGUGGUAUGUUGUAAAUAAUGCGCUGAAUGCUUCCAAUGCUCUGACACUUAAAGAAAUAAAAAUAUGGCUCCUCUCAUCUGGUGGUCUCCAGCCAUUUUUCUAAAAACAGAUGGGGGAGCUGACUCAUGAAAAAGGUGAAAUGUUUUGCAUAGGGUCACAGAUCACAAAUCCAGUGCUAGCAAAAUCAGAGUUCCUUAAGCUAAUUCCCUUGCUUUGUCACCAGAUAAUGCUGGCUGCAGAACACAUCAGCAGUAAAUUAGACUUUAAAAAACUCAAGGGCAUUAGCAAAUUAUAAUUAAGCACACGUUCUGCAAUGAGAUGAAUUGUUUCUAUAAUAAGAGGCAGCAAAAACUAGUGCCUAUAAAUUGCACAUUGUAUCAGAGUAUUACUUUCUGCUCGGAGACAACAAUA